rnacentral:tRNA from 1 species
GUGCGAUUAGCUCAGCCGGUAGAGCGCUCCCUUCACACGGGAGAGGUCACAGGUUCAAGUCCUGUAUCGCACA